rnacentral:rRNA from 1 species
UACGUAGGGUGCAAGCGUUGUCCGGAAUUAUUGGGCGUAAAGAGCUCGUAGGCGGUUUGUCGCGUCUGCUGUGAAAACUCGGGGCUUAACCCCGGGCCUGCAGUGGGUACGGGCAGACUAGAGUGCGGUAGGGGAGACUGGAAUUCCUGGUGUAGCGGUGAAAUGCGAAGAUAUCAGGAGGAACACCGGUGGCGAAGGCGGGUCUCUGGGCCGUAACUGACGCUGAGGAGCGAAAGCAUGGGGAGCGAACAGG